GAAUAAUAUAUUAGAAAAAAAGAAGAGAAAAGUGCAUUCCUUCGAUUCUACAAAGAAAAUUUAAAAAAAAUCAAAAAAGGAAACAGUUUAUGAUAAUAAAAAUGUGAUAGAAUCUAACGAUGAAUAUGAAGAUGACGAUGAAUAUACAGAUUUAAGUAAAAAUAGUUCAAGUAAUCAAUCUACAAGAAUAUUAAAAAAAACCGGAGAAAUGCUUAGCAGGAAAGAUAGUAUAAAUAGUAGUACAGAAAAAAGAAAGAAGAGAAUAUCUCCUUUUGGUCCUAAAAGAAGACAAGCUAAUAAAAUCCGAUGGACUGAUAAUGAACGCGAAGCGGUCUUAUCCUCAUUUUCAGUCAAUAUAAAAAAUAAUAAAUUGCCAUCUUUUAGUCAAAUAAAUGAAAUAAAAGUCAAGUAUCCUAUAUUGAAAAACCGCACAAACGCUCAAAUAAAAUCUUGGAUUAGUAAUCAAAUAAAAACAAAAAGUUAAUUAUUUUAAAG